UAAUAAAAUAAAACCACCGUGAGAAUGCUCAAUCUCGUUUGAACUUGGAAACUAAGCGGGGUUGGGCCUGGUUAGUACUUGGAUGAGAGACUGCUGGGAAUAUGAGAUGC
rnacentral:rRNA from 1 species